rnacentral:rRNA from 1 species
AUUGAACGCUGGCGGCAGGCCUAACACAUGCAAGUCGAGCGGAGCGGCGGACGGGUGCGUAAUGCCUAGGAAUCUGCCUGGUAGUGGGGGAUAACGUCCGGAAACGGGCGCUAAUACCGCAUACUAUCAGAUGAGCCUAGGUCGGAUUGGCUAGUUGGUGGGGUAAAGGCCUACCAGGGAGACGAUCCUGAACUGUUCUGAGAGGAUGAUCAGUCACACUGGAAAUGAGACACGGUCCAGACUCCUACGGGAGGCAGCAGUGGGGAAUAUUGGACAAUGGGCGAAAGCCUGAUCCAGCCAUGCCGCGUGUGUGAAGAAGGUCUUCGGGUUGUAAAGUACUUUCAGUCGGGAGGCGUUACCGACAGAAGAAGCACCGGCUAACUCCGUGCCAGCCGCCGCGGUAAUUC